ACUAUCGUUAACUGAAUACAUAGGUUAACGAGGCGAACCGGGGGAACUGAAACAUCUAAGUACCCCGAGGAAAAGAAAUCAACCGAGAUUCCCCCAGUAGCGGCGAGCGAACGGGGAGCAGCCCAGAGUCUGAAUCAGCUUGUGUGUUAGUGGAACGGUCUGGAAAGUCCGACGGUACAGGGUGAUAGUCCCGUACACCAAAAUGCACAGGUUGUGAACUCGAAGAGUAGGGCGGGACACGUGGUAUCCUGUCUGAAUAUGGGGGGACCAUCCUCCAAGGCUAAAUACUCCUGACUGACCGAUAGUGAACCAGUACCGUGAGGGAAAGGCGAAAAGAACCCCGGCGAGGGGAGUGAAAAAGAACCUGAAACCGUGUACGUACAAGCAGUGGGAGCACCUUCGGGUGUGACUGCGUACCUUUUGUAUAAUGGGUCAGCGACUUAUAUUCUGUAGCAAGGUUAACCGUAUAGGGGAGCCGCAGGGAAACCGAGUCUUAACUGGGCGUUAAGUUGCAGGGUAUAGACCCGAAACCCGGUGAUCUAGCCAUGGGCAGGUUGAAGGUUGGGUAACACUAACUGGAGGACCGAACCGACUAAUGUUGAAAAAUUAGCGGAUGACUUGUGGCUGGGGGUGAAAGGCCAAUCAAACCGGGAGAUAGCUGGUUCUCCCCGAAAGCUAUUUAGGUAGCGCCUCGUGAAUUCAUCUUCGGGGGUAGAGCACUGUUUCGGCUAGGGGGUCAUCCCGACUUACCAACCCGAUGCAAACUACGAAUACCGAAGAAUGUUAUCACGGGAGACACACGGCGGGUGCUAACGUCCGUCGUGAAGAGGGAAACAACCCAGACCGCCAGCUAAGGUCCCAAAGUCAUGGUUAAGUGGGAAACGAUGUGGGAAGGCACAGACAGCCAGGAUGUUGGCUUAGAAGCAGCCAUCAUUUAAAGAAAGCGUAAUAGCUCACUGGUCGAGUCGGCCUGCGCGGAAGAUGUAACGGGGCUAAACCAUGCACCGAAGCUGCGGCAGCGACGCUUAUGCGUUGUUGGGUAGGGGAGCGUUCUGUAAGCCUGCGAAGGUGGCCUGUGAGGGCUGCUGGAGGUAUCAGAAGUGCGAAUGCUGACAUAAGUAACGAUAAAGCGGGUGAAAAGCCCGCUCGCCGGAAGACCAAGGGUUCCUGUCCAACGUUAAUCGGGGCAGGGUGAGUCGACCCCUAAGGCGAGGCCGAAAGGCGUAGUCGAUGGGAAACAGGUUAAUAUUCCUGUACUUGGUGUUACUGCGAAGGGGGGACGGAGAAGGCUAUGUUAGCCGGGCGACGGUUGUCCCGGUUUAAGCAUGUAGGCGGAGGUUCCAGGUAAAUCCGGUACCUUUUAACGCUGAGGUGUGAUGACGAGGCACUACGGUGCUGAAGUAACAAAUGCCCUGCUUCCAGGAAAAGCCUCUAAGCAUCAGGUAACAUUAAAUCGUACCCCAAACCGACACAGGUGGUCAGGUAGAGAAUACCAAGGCGCUUGAGAGAACUCGGGUGAAGGAACUAGGCAAAAUGGUGCCGUAACUUCGGGAGAAGGCACGCUGGUGUGUAGGUGAAGUCCCUGCGGACGGAGCUGAGACCAGUCGAAGAUACCAGCUGGCUGCAACUGUUUAUUAAAAACACAGCACUGUGCAAACACGAAAGUGGACGUAUACGGUGUGACGCCUGCCCGGUGCCGGAAGGUUAAUUGAUGGGGUUAUCCGUAAGGAGAAGCUCUUGAUCGAAGCCCCGGUAAACGGCGGCCGUAACUAUAACGGUCCUAAGGUAGCGAAAUUCCUUGUCGGGUAAGUUCCGACCUGCACGAAUGGCGUAAUGAUGGCCAGGCUGUCUCCACCCGAGACUCAGUGAAAUUGAACUCGCUGUGAAGAUGCAGUGUACCCGCGGCAAGACGGAAAGACCCCGUGAACCUUUACUAUAGCUUGACACUGAACAUUGAGCCUUGAUGUGUAGGAUAGGUGGGAGGCUUUGAAGCGUGGACGCCAGUCUGCGUGGAGCCAACCUUGAAAUACCACCCUUUAAUGUUUGAUGUUCUAACGUUGGCCCCUUAUCGGGGUUGCGGACAGUGUCUGGUGGGUAGUUUGACUGGGGCGGUCUCCUCCCAAAGAGUAACGGAGGAGCACGAAGGUUAGCUAAUCCUGGUCGGACAUCAGGAGGUUAGUGCAAUGGCAUAAGCUAGCUUGACUGCGAGCGUGACGGCGCGAGCAGGUGCGAAAGCAGGUCAUAGUGAUCCGGUGGUUCUGAAUGGAAGGGCCAUCGCUCAACGGAUAAAAGGUACUCCGGGGAUAACAGGCUGAUACCGCCCAAGAGUUCAUAUCGACGGCGGUGUUUGGCACCUCGAUGUCGGCUCAUCACAUCCUGGGGCUGAAGUAGGUCCCAAGGGUAUGGCUGUUCGCCAUUUAAAGUGGUACGCGAGCUGGGUUUAGAACGUCGUGAGACAGUUCGGUCCCUAUCUGCCGUGGGCGCUGGAGAAUUGAGGGGGGCUGCUCCUAGUACGAGAGGACCGGAGUGGACGCAUCACUGGUGUUCGGGUUGUCAUGCCAAUGGCACUGCCCGGUAGCUAAAUGCGGAAGAGAUAAGUGCUGAAAGCAUCUAAGCACGAAACUUGCCCCGAGAUGAGUUCU
rnacentral:rRNA from 1 species